CUACCCAACCCACACACACAUGUACCCCCCUACCACCUGUUCAUUCUCCACUGAGCCACUUCACCCUUUCUCACCGCUACUCACUCACAGAACUCACCACACACCAAAUAAACAAACAUGCACAGACAUAUAAACAUACAUAGAGGGACAAAGAGAUCUGAGAGUGAGAACCGAAGGGAGAAGAGGAGAGGAGGGGAAGCCGCACCUUGCCGCCGCUACUGUCCGUGAAGUCAUCUUCAUUACGGAUCAGAACUGAGGCGAGAGAGGGGACCGCGAUGGAGGAAGGAAUCGCACCGCCCAGUCGCCGUCCAUGGGGAGUCAUCGCUGGCGUUGUCGCGAGGAGGAGAGGAGCUCGCGUCGGAGGAGAAGAGCCUUCGCGUUCUACCACCGCUGAGGGACCAGUCGCCGUUAAAACCGUCACUGCUGUUGUGUUCCGUCACCGCCACCACGUCGUGACCCCGUCGUCACCACCGAAGGCUCUAGCGCUGCCGCUACUUCUAUGGCCGCCAUCAUCUGUUGCAUGUGCGAAAGGAGAGAGGAGCCUUGAGAACAAGGAAAGGAGUCGUGUGAGGCUUGUGCCGAGAGGCAGAGGGCUGUUCAGCCGCCACCGCUGCUGCCAUGAUCACCGUUGCGGUUUCAAAAAAAAGGGGAAUGCCGUCGAAGUACCUCUAAUAUGGUUGCAAAACUUUUCCAAAAGAUUCAAGAAAUGGUAAAGAAGAAAGCAAUCUAGUAUUUAUUUUGAUUGGUGAGGCAGAACAAAAUUUAACUUAAUGCUAUAUGCUUGUCAUGUGCUUUGGGUUAAGUGUGUGGUCAUGCAGAUGAAGUUGAAAGCCUUGCUGCGGCGAGGAAAGCUGCUAUAUCCGGUUCAGAACCUUUAGAUUCUAUUCGGGUCUGCUGCAGCUGCAAAUAAACUAGAGCAGGCCGGUUUCUCAAAUGUAGCAUGCAUAACAUCUGGCCUUCAAACUGUAAAACUAGGUACAUUUGAUUCUAUGGGAUCCAAGGACUUGCAAGAUGUCGAAAAAGCUGGUUUGGUGACAAUCCAAGGGAAAAUCUCAACUGUAUUGGGAACAAUUCUUGUUUAUGCUGCUACUCAUAAGAAUCUGAUGAGCAUGGCCUUUGAGCAUAACAACAUUUAUUGAGUAUAAGCUCAUCGAUGAAGAGCAAACACUCAUCUCUUAUUACUAUUGAGUUGAGCUUUGUUUUGGACAAACUUCUUGGCGUCACAUGCAAAGUGAUCAAUGUUAGAUCCGGAGCUGAGCUUCCGGAAAAAUGUCGAGAGCUAGCAUUGCACUUUGAGACCCAAGGAACACCUAUUAUGAUUGGUGGUGGUGUACUUGCAUAUACACUCUUGGGAGUGGAUUACUAUUUCGAAAUAAAUUCCCUCACCAUCUUUGAUUUCUUAAGAUUCAAUUGAUUAGAAUCGAGCUGAGAGUCCCCCAAUAUGGUUGGACCACCCAGAAGAUCUUCUAUCUCAUGAACUUCCUCGUCAACACUCUACGCGCCCUCGUCUUUGGAUUUCACUCCCAAGUCUUCCUCCUCCAUCCCAAGGUGUUGAUUUUGGUGCUCUUGGACCUUCCUGGCAUCCUGUUUUUCUCUACUUGUACACUUCUAGUCCUUUUCUGGGCUGAAAUUUAUCGUCAGGUAUGCCUCCCCCAUUUCUUCACUGCGCUCUCUUUUACAAUUACUCUUACAAUCCAUUCUAACUGACUCACUGAGCAGGCAAGGAGUUUGUCCACUUAUAAUUUCAGGCUUGUUUAUAUCUCUAUCAAUGCUGCCGUCUAUUUCAUCCAGGUAGUGUGCUUUCCUGCUACCUUUACUUCAAUCACAAGCUACUAGACUAGUUAAGAAUUUUAAUUGCUUUGCAAAAAUCCAAUUAUAGAUUUCUACUAUUUGAGUUAUACUUGUAUUUAGUUGCCACAAGAAGCAUUUCAAGAUGGCAUAAGUUUCUCCCAGAGCUAAAUAGAAGAAAACAAAUUUCUCCUUUGAUAGAUGAUAUCGAUUAUCGCAAUGAUUAAAGCGUGAUUUGGAUUCAGGUUUGUAUUUGGCUGUACCUCUGGAUAGAUCACAAUAGUGUUAUUGAGCUCGUUGGAAAUAUAUUCAUUGUAGGUUAGUUUUUAAAGCAAAUAUCAAUUUGUAUUUCAUACCCACAUUAAGAAUGUGUUUUUGCCACCAGAAUACAAUAUCUUGCUAAAUGUGUGGCCUUUUCUCUUAUGAGAUUAUUUUUCUUCUGUGCACCUGUGUCAUUUAUGGCUGCAUUAGGGUUCCUUAUAUAUGGAGGAAGGUGAGGCUUUUGCAUUUGAUUCAAUCUAAUACUCGAUCCACACUAUACAGGCACAGAUGAUCUGAAAAAGAUCGUUAAUGGUGGAUGGUGUGGCUGGAAGAAAGCUGUUGAUAGCAAGGGAAAGAAUUUCUUCUUGCAUGAUAACUUUUAUAAUCUCCUUCUACCACAGAGGCCCAACAUGGUUUGAUAAGAUCAUUUUUAUGGAGGGUAACAGUUUCUAGUUUGUACCAAUUUUCUUGCAAUGGAAUGGUAGUUUUUCAUGGUUGGAAUUUGAUCCUUCAACUAUAAUAGUUAAUUUUUGUAAUAAUGAUUCUUUUAAAGUUUUGUAGUUUAAUAUAUUAGUGCUUUUG